rnacentral:rRNA from 1 species
GUAAGGAAUAUUGGUCAAUGGGCGCAAGCCUGAACCAGCCAUGCCGCGUGCAGGAAGACGGCCCUAUGGGUUGUAAACUGCUUUUAUCAGGGAAUAAACCCCCGCUCGUGAGCGGGGCUGAAGGUACCUGAAGAAUAAGCAUCGGCUAACUCCGUGCCAGCAGCCGCGGUAAUACGGAGGAUGCAAGCGUUAUCCGGAUUCAUUGGGUUUAAAGGGUGCGCAGGCGGAUUGGUAAGUCAGGGGUGAAAUCCCACAGCUCAACUGUGGAACUGCCUUUGAUACUGUCAGUCUAGAGUAUAGUUGAAGUUGGCGGAAUGUGUCAUGUAGCGGUGAAAUGCUUAGAUAUGACACAGAACACCGAUCGCGAAGGCAGCUAGCUAAGCUAUAACUGACGCUCAUGCACGAAAGCGUGGGGAUCAAACAGGAUUAGAAACCCCUGUAGUCC